rnacentral:snRNA from 1 species
CAACUCUGGUUUCUCUUCAAUCACGCACAAGUUUUUCGCCUUUUACUAAAGACUUCCGUGGAGAGCAACGCUACGAGUUCAACGUAUUUUGGACGGGCUUUGCUCCCGGCAGAGCC